GUGAAGUUGAACAUUUUCUCACAAAGAAUCCGUUUGUAGACAUGCACACUCAUUUAAUCUGCAGCUACGAAGUACUUUGUCACUUCUCUGGAACAUUAUUCUAAGCAGAAUUAUCCCAAUUCAUAUAUUCUAAGAAUCUUGUGUGAAUUGUUAACGAGGAAAUUCUGACUGUCACAUUAACAAGGAUGAACACUCUUGACUCUGCUUCGGAUUCCCCAGUGAUAAUUGUAUCAAGUGAUGAAAGAGCUGACAGCGACAUUUUAAUGUAUGAUUGGCUUGGACCAUUGGAAUGAGGUCAUUUCAUGGUGCCACCACUUGGAAUGGUAUUAGCUGCAAGUAUAGACUUGUACUCAGCACUUAUUGCCUUUAAGAAGUAUGAGAUCCAUUUUGUGCUAACACCUACCGUGACACAGAAUCUUGGUUUAUGCAGUCUCAUAGGAGUAACCUGUCUAAAGCAUUUAGCAAUGGGAUUGGAACCUGCGACGUGUGACUCAUCUGAAUACUGAAUUUCGAUACCAAGCAUGACCAUGAUUUGCCAGAAGAUCAUCUGUUUGGAUUUGACAUGGAAUAAACAGCAUAGUGAAAAUAAGUAAAGUUUUGGUUUGUGAAGACAACUUUUAAACACACUGUGUAUCAUUUUUAAAUUUUGAUUUGACAACAUAAAUCCACAAGUAUAAACAUAUCAAUUGCUCUCAGUUUUUCAAGUGAAAUAGUUUUUGUAACAGAAAUACAUGUACCAGUAAUUACAUUGGAAUAAAUGUUAUUUUUAAAUAUAGUAAUAUUUUUUUGUGUUGCAUGUUGAUCUCUUUAUUAAGGUCUUCCCUUUCAAAGUUUAGACUUACUUAUUCUAAUGAUUAAGAUAGAUCCUCUGUCUUCAGCUGGAAUAUAAGAUCUUGUAAUACAUGUAUGUGUAUUUUUACAGUAAUGUAAAAUUUUUUACAGUUAUGUAAAAAAAAUUGUUAUUUUGGCACAUACAACUAAAUAAAGGCAUAAACAUGUGUAUGAUUCCAAGGAAUUCAGUACAUAGGACAUGUAAAUGUAGUUUUCUAAAACAAGAUUGAAGAGAUGUCCAGUCGCAUUUCAAUGUCAACUGCAAAACUGUUCCUGUUGCAUACUUAUUAGCCCAUCUGAGCUAAAGGAACCAGUAAGAUGGUAAUCUAGCAAAACACUUAUGUUUCUGUAGUAUGACACGUUUCACAAACAUAAUUGCAACAAAGAUGAUAUAUCCAAUAUCAAAAGUCAUAAUAUUGGAAGUUUAACUGUUAUGGAUACGAUUUCAAGAAUGCUGU